rnacentral:misc_RNA from 1 species
AUUUUAAUAAGAUUAUCAAAAUUUAAGAAAUAGAAAAUGACUUACUCUUUUGAGAAGAGAAAGAUAUUUUCCUUAAAAAUGACUUAGUUUUCAAUUUCACUAAAAAAAUAUUUCCUUUGUCCCAUUUUCCUGAGAGUACCAAACGCUAGAAAAUGUAGAAAAUAUUUUUCUAGUAAAAUAUUUUUCGUGAAACAAACGGAUCCUAAAUCUCAAAAGAAUGAUUAUAACUUCAUUUGCAAAAUGAAAAGCAUGCCUACUUUUGUUACAUACAUGGCAGUUAUUACAUAGCAAUAAAAUUCUUCAUAAAGCUAAAUUGAUCACAUAAGUUACACAAAUCCAUUUAACUCUGAAUUUUAUAGAGUAUUAAUGGAUUUCUGACAUCAAGAUAAACAACUUAGAGAAUCCAUCA